rnacentral:sRNA from 1 species
ACAAGUUAAUACAAGGUGAGUGUUACUAAGUAAUAUUAGGCAUGAUCACAGGUGAAUUAGAAAUCAGCUGAUUUUCUAGUUCAUUUGUGGUCAUUUUU